rnacentral:rRNA from 1 species
CCUACGGGUGGCAGCAGUGAGGAAUAUUGGUCAAUGGCCGCAACGCUGAACCAGCAAAGCCGCGUGAUUGAAGAAGGAUUUAUGGUUUUUAAGCUUCUUUUAUAGGGGAAUAAUUGUAUCCACGUGUGGAUAUUUGCAUGUACCCUCUGAAUAAGCAUCGGCUAACUCCGUGCCAGCAGCCGCGGUAAUACGGAGGGUGCUAGCGUUAUCCGGAUUUAUUGGGUUUAAAGGGUGCGUAGGUUGUUUUUUAAGUCAGCGGUGAAAGUUUGCGGCUCAACCGUAAAAUUGCAAUUGAUACUGGCAGCCUUGAGUGCAGUUGAGGCAGGCGGAAUUCGUGGUGUAGCGGUGAAAUGCGUAGAUAUCACGAAGAACACCAAUUGCGAAGGCAGCCUACUAGACUGCCACUGACAUUGAUGCGCGAAAGUGUGGGUAUCAAACAGGAUUAGAUACCCCUGUAGUC